rnacentral:lncRNA from 1 species
AUUAGAACUAGAAGGGCAUAAAAUGGAUCCAGCUGUUUCUGUACCCAGUGUAACUGCAGCCAUAUUUGCUGCUACUGAUGUUGCAGAACCGGUGCUUGAGCCACAUGGAUUAGCAGAUUUAAGGUAUGGAUUCUACAUCGAAUCAGAUCCACAAAAUGGAAUUAUAUAUCUGUACCAGAAAUUCUAAUUGACCUGGAAAUGCUGCAUAGGAAAUCAACUUUUUGUUUCCUAAGCUACAAAUUAUUGAAAAAAUAGAACAAGAGAAAAAAAAAAGGAAACUUUUGACUGAUAUAGUUGCAUGAAAUUUUGGGAACCAAAUGAAGAAUAUCAGCAACUCACCACACUUUGGCCACGUCUAGCAUUCCAACCAUUAGGCACAUUGUUUGACCUGAAUGCAGCCCAUUCUGUCAUGCUAGCCUUUCCUAAUAUAAUUGCACCAACCUUCCUUAGCUUCUUAACCACCCCAGCGUCCUGAGGUACAAUUGAUCCAAGAAGUGCAUAAGAUCCAGCUGUUGUGUUAAGCUUGUCCUUGGUUGCAAUGUUGUCCUUGAGCAGAAUCGGGAUACCAGCCAGUCCUGUCACCGAUCCUGGCUUCUUUGCUUUUCGAUCCUGGUCUGCCUUGUGGGCUAAAUUCAGAGCAUCUGGAUUCACUUCUAUGACUCCAUUAAGAACUGGAUUUAGUUUCCUAAUCUCUUCUAGGUAGAAUUCAACCAAAUCCUGAGAAGUGAGUCUGUUAUGAUCCAAGGCAAUCCGAAUAUCAUGCACGGUAGCUUCUCUGAAUGAGAAUGGACUUCCCUCAGCAUUAUGACCAAGGCCAAGAAUAGUCGUACUCAAAAGAAUUAGUAGCCAAAUAUCCAUAUUAGACAUGCAGAAAAACUAUUUCUCGCUUCUUGAUCUUUCUGUGAUAUUCUGAAGUAGCUACUGAUAAAUAAGUAGCCAAUAGAAUGUCUUUAAAUGCCAGCUUGAAUUCCACAUUCAAAGGCUAUCCGAAUAUCAUCCUCUGCUGUUGUUUUCUUGGCCAUGUUUUCCAUGAUAAAGACAUUCUGUUGACUGAUUUUUAUACCUGGUAUAAGCACUUUUGGAGUAAAAAACAUAUAUAAAUAAAAGUGAAUUAUUAUUUAUCGUUUAGACCAAAUAAUCCCUAAAAAUUUAUACAUAGCUGCCUCAUGAUUUGAGGUAAAGUAUCAUGGUGAAUUUUUCUAUUAAAACUAACAAUCAACAUAAAAAAAUAUAAGUAUCAUGGUUAAUUUUUCCACCAUCUUUGUACUACUUUUUUUUUCCUUUUUGUUUUUCCUUUGGGAAGGGAAGAGAUGAUGUACUCAUAAAAGAAGACAAAGACAUUGCCAAUCAUUCCAUUGGUAAAAACAAAGGCCACCAUUAAUUGAAUGGCUUUAUUCAGCGACAACAUGUGAAUAACAACAU